rnacentral:rRNA from 1 species
UACGUAGGGGGCAAGCGUUGUCCGGAUUUAUUGGGCGUAAAGAGCGUGUAGGCGGCCAGAUAGGUCCGUUGUGAAAACUCGAGGCUCAACCUCGAGACGUCGGCGGAAACCAUCUGGCUAGAGUCCGGAAGAGGAGAGUGGAAUUCCUGGUGUAGCGGUGAAAUGCGCAGAUAUCAGGAAGAACACCCGUGGCGAAGGCGGCUCUCUGGGACGGUACUGACGCUGAGACGCGAAAGCGUGGGGAGCAAACAGG